rnacentral:lncRNA from 1 species
UCUGGGUGAAUUUGGGCUGAAUUUGGCUGGUUUGGGGUCAUUUUGAGGUGAUUUCCGCCGAUUUUGGGGUGGCCCUGAUGAAGCGAUUUCAGUGGGACUUUUGGGCUGAUUUUGGGGUCAUCCCGAGAACUGAGGAUGUCUAAACCCCUGGAGCUGGAGAAGGAGCUGCCGGGGGAGCGCCCGGACACAGAAACCAAUGGACCCGACACGAACCACCAGGUGAGAUUUGGGGAUUUGGGGUUUUUUGGGGGGGUUUGGGGUUUUUUUUGGGGGGUCCCCCCCCCCCCCCCCAAAUCUGGGGGUCCCCCCAAAUUUGGCUCCCCCCCCCCCCAGGCCCAGCAGAACAAACCCCCCCCUUCGGCCCCGCCCCCCC